UACGUAGGGGGCCAGCGUUGUCCGGAUUUAUUGGGCGUAAAGAGCGUGUAGGCGGCCGUGUAGGUCUGACGUGAAAUCUGGAGGCUCAACCUCCAGCUGUCGUUGGAAACCGCACGGCUAGAGUCCGGAAGAGGAGAGUGGAAUUCCUGGUGUAGCGGUGAAAUGCGUAGAUAUCGGGAGGAACACCAGUGGCGAAGGCGACUACCUGGCCCAUUCUUGACGCUGAGGCGCGAAAGCUAGGGGAGCGAACGGG
rnacentral:rRNA from 1 species